rnacentral:rRNA from 1 species
UACGGAGGGGGCUAGCGUUGUUCGGAAUUACUGGGCGUAAAGCGCGCGUAGGCGGACCUGCAAGUCGGGGGUGAAAGCCCGAGGCUCAACCUCGGAACUGCAUUCGAUACUGCGGGUCUCGAGUCCGGGAGAGGUGAGUGGAAUUCCUAGUGUAGAGGUGAAAUUCGUAGAUAUUAGGAGGAACACCAGUGGCGAAGGCGGCUCACUGGCCCGGUACUGACGCUGAGGCGCGAAAGCGUGGGGAGCAAACAGG